AUGUCCAUGGUCUAAUGGUUAUGAUGCCGGUCUCCAAAACCGUGCGGUCCGGGUUCAAAUCCUGGUGGGCAUGCCA
rnacentral:tRNA from 1 species